rnacentral:rRNA from 1 species
GGCGAACGCUGGCGGCGUGCUUAACACAUGCAAGUCGAACGGAAAGGCCCUGCUUUUGUGGGGUGCUCGAGUGGCGAACGGGUGAGUAACACGUGAGUAACCUGCCCUUGACUUUGGGAUAACUUCAGGAAACUGGGGCUAAUACCGGAUAGGAGCUCCUGCUGCAUGGUGGGGGUUGGAAAGUUUCGGCGGUUGGGGAUGGACUCGCGGCUUAUCAGCUUGUUGGUGGGGUAGUGGCUUACCAAGGCUUUGACGGGUAGCCGGCCUGAGAGGGUGACCGGCCACAUUGGGACUGAGAUACGGCCAGACUCCUACGGGAGGCAGCAGUGGGGAAUAUUGCACAAUGGGCGGAAGCCUGAUGCAGCAACGCCGCGUGCGGGAUGACGGCCUUCGGGUUGUAAACCGCUUUCGCCUGUGACGAAGCGUGAGUGACGGUAAUGGGUAAAGAAGCACCGGCUAACUACGUG